UACAGAGGGUGCGAGCGUUAAUCGGAAUUACUGGGCGUAAAGCGUGCGUAGACGGCUAUCUAAGUCGGGUGUGAAAGCCCCGGGCUCAACCUGGGAAUUGCAUUCGAGACUGAAUAGCUAGGGUACGGUAGAGGGAAGCGGAAUUUCCGGUGUAGCGGUGAAAUGCGUAGAUAUCGGAAGGAACAUCAGUGGCGAAAGCGGCUUCCUGGUCCAGCACCGACGUUCAGGCACGAAAGCGUGGGGAGCAAACAGG
rnacentral:rRNA from 1 species